rnacentral:rRNA from 1 species
ACGGAGGGAGCUAGCGUUGUUCGGAAUUACUGGGCGUAAAGCGCGCGUAGGCGGCUAUUUAAGUCAGGGGUGAAAUCCCGGGGAUCAACCCCGGAACUGCCUUUGAAACUGGAUAGCUAGAAUCUUGGAGAGGUCAGUGGAAUUCCGAGUGUAGAGGUGAAAUUCGUAGAUAUUCGGAAGAACACCAGUGGCGAAGGCGACUGACUGGACAAGUAUUGACGCUGAGGUGCGAAAGCGUGGGGAGCAAACAU